rnacentral:rRNA from 1 species
GACGAACGCUGGCGGCGUGCUUAACACAUGCAAGUCGAACGGAAAGGCCCUGCUUUUGUGGGGUGCUCGAGUGGCGAACGGGUGAGUAACACGUGAGUAACCUGCCCUUGACUUUGGGAUAACUUCAGGAAACUGGGGCUAAUACCGGAUAGGAGCUCCUGCUGCAUGGUGGGGGUUGGAAAGUUUCGGCGGUUGGGGAUGGACUCGCGGCUUAUCAGCUUGUUGGUGGGGUAGUGGCUUACCAAGGCUUUGACGGGUAGCCGGCCUGAGAGGGUGACCGGCCACAUUGGGACUGAGAUACGGCCCAGACUCCUACGGGAGGCAGCAGUGGGGAAUAUUGCACAAUGGGCGGAAGCCGGAUGCAGCAACGCCGCGUGCGGGAGGACGGCCUUCGGGUUGUAAACCGCUUUCGCCUGUGACGAAGCGUGAGUGACGGGAAUGGGGAAAGAAGCACCGGCGAACUACGU